CGGACGGGUGAGUAACGCGUGGAUAACCUACCUAUAAGACUGGGAUAACUUCGGGAAACCGGAGCUAAUACCGGAUAAUAUUUUGAACCGCAUGGUUCAAAAGUGAAAGACGGUCUUGCUGUCACUUAUAGAUGGAUCCGCGCUGCAUUAGCUAGUUGGUAAGGUAACGGCUUACCAAGGCAACGAUGCAUAGCCGACCUGAGAGGGUGAUGGCCACACUGGAACUGAGACACGGUCCAG
rnacentral:rRNA from 1 species